UGGGGGGCCCCGUUCGCAGAUCGGCUCCUCCUCACAGCCUUUCCUGACGGCGGUGGACGGACAGACCGGGGAACACAGAUACAAAAACAGCUAGUCGGAGGCCCCUUAGCGAUGAAAUUCGCCACCUUAUUUGGGCCGAGACCUAACUGCUAUGGGCCGAGUUUUCCAGAGAGAUUGGAAGCCCCUCUGUGUGGCAGCCCGCAGGCUGGUCACCUGUAGUAGUAAGACUAUGCUUACUACUACAAGCUGGAGGAAGACCAAAGAGAUGAACAAAUCACCAAAACAAUACCCAGCAGGAAGGCCCAGGGUCUGGAGGAAUUCAGUGAGAACCCUGCGUCAUUCGGCUACGCUCAAGGGUAACCAUGCUUAUUCCAAGAGGCUUGUGAAGAUGUCUGCAUCAUCGAGACACAGCUAAGGUAUGUGCAGUACGACUGGAUUGGCAAGUCAGAAGGAAUAUACAUACUGCAUCUAAAAGAUUCUCACCAAAACAGUUAAUUUCCAAAAAAGGCUGACGGGUUCAAAGGGGAAAGUGUCAUGUAUGUGUAAGUUCCUGUCCGUGGAGUAGUCCUUUGGGUGUUGUGGCACGAGCAGGUACUGGGCCACGUGCUCCGAGGGCCUGCAGAGCCCCCGGUCCUCCCAGGACACCCUGACCUCAGGAGCACGCUGUGGCUGGAGGAGGUAAGGAGGAGCAAGCCCCGGACUCCGGCACGUCUCACCUAGAGCGCCCCCUGGAGUCAUCGGGGAGACGCUAACAGCUAGACAGCGGGGCCCCAGCCCCAGAGGCCCAGGACUUCCUCCCACGGGAUGCUGGGAUGCUGGUGGGACCUCCCUACCUACAUCAUGGUGCCCUGGUGCCCUGCCCAGAGCGCAGAGGGCCUGCUCGGCCUCUGACUGGAACUCACCAGCACGCUCCAGUUUUGCAGAACAGCUCGAGAACAGUAGCCACCACUGAAGAUUGCAUUAAUACCCACAAGACAGAUUGCAGCCACCAUCACACACCUGGAACCUGGGAUGGAGAAAGAAAUCGCCCAUUAACAGCAUGCAGGAAUUUCCAACCCCCAGGGCCAGUCUGCUGCUGGGGUUCCCUGGGUCCCAAAGGGCAGCCUGUUCUGCGAGCAAAGAACAGAGACUCAAUGGCAAAGGGACCAAGGCCUCCCCUGCAGAGCUAAGGACAAGUGCCCAGGGCACGAAGCAGUCCACGGGGACCACGAGCCUAGGGCCUGGUCGACAGGAAGGACCCUGGCCGCAUAGUGUGGCUCCCAGGGGCUCCCUGGCCCUGGGGCAGGCACAACUGCCUCUGAGCCAGCUGGUUUUCAUGAGAACUCCCGGAGCCAAGGAGGGAAGCCUGCGUCCCUGCACAUGCCUGCCAGUGGCCCUGGGCCCUGUGGACAUCUCUUCUAGGUGUAGCCCCGGCCGUGCUGCUCUGCUGCCUGCAGACAGGGUCACGGACUCGGGCAUGUGGGGCUGCGUGAACAGGAGACCACAGGGUGCUCUGCGAACCCCGAGGUCCCCAGAGGCCCCACUGGUCUGCUGGUAUGGGAAGAUGCCCCCUGGGGUUCAGCAGGGAGGCUAGGCCUGAGUUCAAACCCUCUGCCGGGAUUAUGGGUGAGGCUGAAGGCAAGACCACCUGCCUAGGACAUCUCUGUUCUCAGAAUUAAGGAAAAAGAAAGUUUCUCCCAGAUUUUCAUUUUAAAAACAUCAAAGGAUGAGUACAUGUAAUCCUAUUUUCCUAGUAAAAGUUGGGUCAUUUGAGGGCAGGAAAAGAAAUAAUUGUCUUUGCAAUAAAACUUGUCAGCUCACCCGACUUCUCCCCAUCCCACCCACUCCUGCCAAGAGCUCUUGGGGAUGGGAGCGCCCACCGUGCGCCUUCCUGGGAUGGCCAGGCCAGUGCAGCACGUCCCACCCAUAUGGCCACAUCCCUCCAGACUGGGCUGAACCCCUUUGGGAUGACUCAAGACCAGUGGAUGAAGAGCAUGGGGACCAUGUGGCACCCACCCUGGGUCCUGGGAGUAGGGUGCAUGGUCACCGGACUGCUCUUUGCUGCUCUGACAGCAGCAGCAGCAGCAGCAGCAGCAGCACCUGUCUGCGCACUAGGGCGGCCCCCAUGAGAUGACUCCCCAAACUACAGAAAACACAGAGGCAAGUCCGAACGUGCUCAUCUUUAACCUUAUAGCGAGCACACAGGCCUUCUGAACUUCCCUUUCCAGCCGGUUGCAUGGGGUGUGGGGUGGGGCAGAGGGAAGGCGCUCAGACCCCACAGCCUGGUCUUCAUACUUGGCCACCCUCUUCUACUUCUUCCAGGGACCAGCUAGCAAUUCUCCUGGUGCAUCAGCUCGGGGAUCUCGAAGGCUCCCUGCCAGACCCACAGAAAACAUGACAGGCAAAUCCCAGCCUGGACGGCCCUGGGGUGCCAUACCAGUGUGCUUGUGUGGCCAGCAGGUGUCUGUGGUGUUUCACCCAAGGAGCGUGGAGGGCACAAGAGUGGCUGCAAGAGGUGCCCCCCACAGUGCUGACACGGUGCAGGUGUCAGGCCCAUCUCCACCUUUACAACUCAUCCAGGAGCCUAACGGACCGGGGUUCAGGGAAUCCGAACUGGGGCUUGUGGCUCAGCUCUGGGGAAACCUGACAGGUGCUCCUGAGGAAGCAUCAGCACCCAGGGUGAAGCUGUGCUGGCUGCCUGGGCGCGCUGUGCUCCCCUAGCGCCUCGCCCAGUCUAGGCCUGCUGCACCGCAAGUUUGUUUACUGUGACUUGGCAAAGGGGGAGGCAAGACGAUGACUGGAGAACUUCAAUUAUCCUCUAAGCUCGAAAGGGAGUCUGUUCUGAAAAAGGAAGCCCGUACGGAUCUGGGAAGCUUUGGGUUUCUGCUUGAAUGGGAGGUGCCAAGUUGAUGCCGACCCCUCUGCUCCCCCAUGUCACUCAUGUCACAAGAAGCGCCUGCUAGCCCCGAACACCUAACCCACCUACCUUGCUUUGCUCUUUUUCCCUUAGCGCUUCUCACUGCCCUACCUCUCGUGUUUUAUUAUCCAUAUUCUCCCUGUUAUAGACAAGGCUUUUUGUCUGCUUUUCUUACUCUUGUAUCCUUAGCAGCCAAAACAGUCUCUUGCUGAUGUUCAUGGGAUAAAGACGGUGCCAAUGAACUUGAGACACAGAGACUGUGGUUAACAGGAAACCGGGAGUGGCAAUUCAGGUGCAAGCACCGCCCAGGGCUUUUUUUUUUUUUUUUUUAAGAUUUUAUUUGAGAGCGAGCCAGUGAGAGAAUACACGUGGAUAAGGGCAGAGGGAGAAGGAAGCUCCUGGUUGAGCAGGGAGCUCGAUGCGGGGCUCAAUCCCAGGACCCUGGGGUCAUGACCUGAGCCGAAGGCAGAAGCUUAAUUGACUAAGCCACCAGGCGCCCCUCUCAGGGCCCUUCUAAAGACAAGGCAGGGGUGCCUGUAGGAGCCACCACCAUCUGAGCUCCCAGCUCUGCCUGACAUACAGCAUGAGGGGGUCCCCGAAAAAUGGCUGCACCCCAAGGCCCUUGUAUUCAUAGCCAGAGACAGACGAGGCUGUUCUCGCCCAAAACAAAACAUGGGGAGUACAUGGCUUUACAUUCCGGCCUUAUUAUCGCCUGCUGUGUCCUUCUCCCAUUCGGUGACGCUGUUAACUGCAUGUGCUUAUAACUGCUGUUGCAGUCUUGGUCCAUGGCCAGGGAAAUUUUCGGAGUUCUUAAAGAACGUCCUCCCAUGUCAACCCUUGCUCCUAACUUUUUUAAAUUUAACUACAUUUGGAUACCCAACAAGGAAGGCUGUGUAACUCUCAUUCCCUGUAAAGAGUUACUAGAAACUUGCUCAUGCUUUCCUGUUUUCCACGCGUCUGGGAAAUGGAUCAUUUUCAACGAUUAUCAUGUAAUCUGGGGUUGUCUGCCCCCUGGCAGGACUGUUAGCAAAACUCCAGUGAUACACAGAGCUUGUAGCCAGACUAAACACCAUCAAGCAAGAUGCUGAACAAAUUAAAACUCCAAUGACACCCACCCCUCUGAUGGUCUUACUUAUGCCACCGAUGAUGGUAAAUACACCCACACUCCCACCUGCCUCUGGGGCUUUCCUCACAGGCUCAUCCUGUGAAGGUAGGAUGCAUCCUGAGUGGUAGGCUCUUUGUCUUAAAAUAUGUAUCCAUGACUCCCACUCAUAGAACUGGAGUUUUAGGGGCACAGGCCUGGUCUGCACAUUUCUGUAUUUAGCAACAGCAGACACAUGAUAUAGUUUUACUUAAAUAAAGAGCUUGCUGACUUUUCUAAUCUAGUCACUGAUUUCCCAAUAGGAAUUCAAAGUGAGUAAAUGAAAAUCCCCUGGAGGGCCCCAAGGAAACCGGCCCCGACUAUUCAGAAUUCGGAUGGGUGGCACCCCAGAGCUCCACAUGUUGGAAGGGACGGCCAGUCUGGAUCUGCGUAUGGGUCAUCAUGUCGGGACACCAGACAGCACUCCUGUUCUUGUCUUCUAUCCAGGUGCCAUCUUUUCAGAGAGGAAGGAAACCCCCCCACAAUGAACAGAGGAAGGCCACGCCACGUGAGCUGGUGAUGCCACUGGUGGCACCUAACGUACAUUUGGCCUUUUUGAACUAAAGUGUUUUGUUUGUUUUAAUUCGUGAAAAACAGAGAGAGACAGAGAGAGAGAGAGAGAGGCAGAGACUUAGAGGGAAAAGCACACUCCUUGCAGGGAGCCUGAUGUGGGACUCAAUCGUUGGACCCCAGGAUCAUGACCUGAGCCGAAGGCAGAUGCUCAACCACUGAACCACCCAGGCGUCCCUGCACUAAACUGUUUAUUAUUUCACCAGAACCACUGUUCUCAAUUCUGAUUUACAUUUCCCUAGGAUUACAUAGCCUGGAUCAUUAGCUCAAGGACCUGAUCCAAGAGACUAGAAGGAGCCAGAGUAAUGGAUCCACACUUGAACUGGUCUAAAUUCAGGCAGGACGGAGACCACAGUCAUCCAUCCUCCUGCCUAGCUACCCCUCCUCUGCUUCCUCCAGACCCCGAGCAAGGAGUCUGGCUCAUGGCUCAAGUUGCGCUCAGAACAAGUGGUGCAUCUACAGGAGGUGUUCCAUCUGCAUGGGAUCCUAUAGCUUCACAAGCCACACUUCGGAAGGGGGAAACUGCUACCCCUCCUUUGGUAGCCAGGGCUGCCUCUAGUCCCUGGUGGAUAGGUCUGUGGGGAAGGAAGGAUGAUCUGGAACAACUUAGGAGAGCAGAUAUAAACAAAGCGCAGGAUCUGACCGGCUGGAACCAUGCAACUGCUUAAUGAUCAUGCCUUCCUUUAGGCCUAUGUAAAUGCUUAAAAAAAAAAAUCCUUCCUUAGGCCCUAUGCCACCACCAUCCUCGGUCAAGUGAGACUGCCAAAUUCGGAGGUCUUCUCUCAUCUUACUCAACUUUCCUAUACCAUUUGAUACUGCUGAACCCAGCAACUCACCACUGCCCUUCAGGCUCCAGCCCUCACCCACCCCUCCGGGCACCGUGCCUUCUCCACAGGCUGCUCGUCCUCUGCGGACUCUUUAUGUCUAGGUGAGCCUCAAGGCUGCGUCCCACUCACCGCUCUUCCACUUUCAACUUUCUCAGCUACCCCCUUAUGCCAAGUGCCCAGAUCUACCUGCAUCAACUCUUCUAUGAGCUUCAGAAUAUCCCACUUACCCAAUCCUAGGUACCUUGGGGUGAACACCACCAGCCUCUGGAAACAGGAGCACACUGUCGUGGGAGGCAGAGUACAUCGACCAUUCUCCCAGUCCUUCCCCCAUGAAUGGUCUGAAACUGUUCCCCCAUUUAAGCUGAGCCUAAGUCAACCGGAGGCCAGUUUUCCCGAUAUACCUCCUUCAAAAGAUCAGCAUCAAGUAGAGGCAGGCACAUAACUCUAUAUGACCUCUCUAGCAUCUCUAAAGGGAUGAAGGUCUGGUCCCUCCCUAUUCUCAUUUCUCUUCCUGUCUUGUGAAGGAAUGAUAUAAACCAAGAGAAGACCAUAGGAGCAGAACACCUCAAAGACUUUCCACCACAUUAGAGUUCAGAGUAACAGAGCUUUCUUUGUAUUUAACAGAAAUCCAGUCAAGAUACUGAAUUAAGGCAUUUAGAAUUUUACACAUAUUAUACAUUUAUAGAAAAAAGAUCCACUCAGUGGUUCCCUGAAGCAAGGUUAAGUCUAAAAUCAAAUGGCGCAGAGAUGCCAAUGUAGCAUAUUGUUUCCUUUGAGAUGAGAAAGUCUAAGGAAAGCCUGCUAGAAACAGCGCUCUGUCUGCCUUCAAUUGAAGGAUUAGGGGGAUACACAGAUCAGAGCUUACCUAAAGUUCUAAUGUGUUCGCACGCAGGAAGUUAAUUCUGCUAAAUGGCUAGGACUCCCGUGACAUUGCCCCCCCUACGUGUGCUGGCGGGUGCUGUCCACCUGGAGCCAGAGGAUGGUGGCAGUUUCAUGCUGGCUGCACCUGACACGGAAGCUGGCACUAGCUGCUGAUUUAGGAAGUGUAAGACCACGAUCUGGGGUCUCAAGUUAGACUUGGACAGAGCACCAUCCCCUGCUUCUCCCUUAGUCCCAGGUGACAAUCUCCCUGGAGCGAUGCACCACCUCAGAGGAGUUCCUCAAGUGACAGGCAGUGACGGGACACGAGCCGCCCACAUCCCGGACAUCUGCUUUGUACUGGGCCCGUUAAGGCACCUGAUGCAGCCGUCCCUCGAGCCAAGUACUUACGUAGUAUUCAGCAGAACUGACGGGACUUCCAGCCCUGAGAAGUAGCCUCGGAGGGAGGGAGCCAGCGCAUCUGGAAAGACAUGUGGAGAGAAGGUUGUGAACCAGGGCUCCCACUGGCCAUCCUCAUCCUGGGAGUAUCCCAACGGCUGAUGGAGCCGGCUCACACAUGCUCUCGAGUGCUGGCGGGGGGCAGCUCCCCCAGGGCCUCCCAUGGUCCCGACAGAACGCCAAACCAAGCCCCCAGCAAAGCUACCCCUGGGAGAGCACACCAGGCCCAGCAGCUCCCUCGCUCCCGCCCUCCUGCCAAGGUGAUGGCCAGCCACUACUGCGGCCCACCUGGCCCAGCGAGUCCCUUUUUCUGCGCUCACUCAGUGACGCCUAGGCUAGGCAACAGGCCGCCUCGUGGUUUUCUAAGCAGGUAUGGAAACACGCAUCUCCUUUGACAAAGAAGGGACAGCUCAGGACCCAUCUGUGCCAGUAAGCUGGCCAGGAGAGCUUUGAGAUCCUGCUCCUAUUCUUUUACAAGAGGAGUUCUGGCUUCUUGGCACUGUGGGGUCUCCGGUACCCCAAGCCCUCUGCUCACUCUGCUGAGGAGGACCUGUAGCCCCAUCUUUUUCAUUAGGUUUCCAAAGUGGAAGGCCAGUGACAAAACAAAUGGAUUGAGUGAUGCUUUGUCCACUUGAUUGAAGGUUCCCAGUUCUGCGCUGAGGAAACGUGAAGACACAAACCAAAGAGCAAAUGUGCUUUGGCUUUAAGAAAUGUCCGCCCGUCGGCAAUGUUGGUUUUGCCUCUUAGCCUUUGGAUGGAAGAAAGAAAUGCCCAUUUACCACUGCUCCUCUCAUUUUCAUGGAGGAGGGAUGGCCCCAUCACCCCAAGGGCAACAUGGGAAGCUGGGAGUGCGGGAGGGAGAGCAAACUACAUCAAAGGGAAUCCUGCUCAAGAGAGCUGGAUGGCUCCAUGGGGACUGGCAUCCCCCCAGUGUGGCAGGAGGACAAAGAUGGAUCUUUUACCUGGGGCUGGCCCGAAGUGCUUCUAGAGUAGAAUGCAAUGCUGGAAGGAAUUUUACCCUGGCACACCUACUUUGAUAGUUUAAUAAAAUAGAUG